rnacentral:rRNA from 1 species
GAUCAUGGCUCAGAUUGAACGCUGGCGGCAGGCCUAACACAUGCAAGUCGAGCGGCAGCACAGAGGAACUUGUUCCUUGGGUGGCGAGCGGCGGACGGGUGAGUAAUGCCUGGGAAAUUGCCCGGUAGAGGGGGAUAACCAUUGGAAACGAUGGCUAAUACCGCAUAACCUCGCAAGAGCAAAGCAGGGGACCUUCGGGCCUUGCGCUACCGGAUAUGCCCAGGUGGGAUUAGCUAGUUGGUGAGGUAAGGGCUCACCAAGGCGACGAUCCCUAGCUGGUCUGAGAGGAUGAUCAGCCACACUGGAACUGAGACACGGUCCAGACUCCUACGGGAGGCAGCAGUGGGGAAUAUUGCACAAUGGGCGCAAGCCUGAUGCAGCCAUGCCGCGUGUAUGAAGAAGGCCUUCGGGUUGUAAAGUACUUUCA